UACCAGCACCCCGAGUGGUCGGGACGAUUAUUGGGCCUAAAGCAUCCGUAGCCGGUCUUACAAGUCCUCCGUUAAAUCCAGCUGCUUAACAGAUGGGCUGCGGAGGAUACUAUAAGACUAGGAGGCAGGAGAGGCAAGCGGUACUCAGUGGGUAGGGGUAAAAUCCGUUGAUCCAUUGAAGACCACCAGUGGCGAAGGCGGCUUGCCAGAAUGCGCUCGACGGUGAGGGAUGAAAGCUGGGGAGCAAACCGG
rnacentral:rRNA from 1 species